UUCCCUACGGGACGCAGCAGUGAGGAAUAGUGGUCAAUGGUCGGGAGGCUGAACCAGCCAAGCCGCGUGAGGGAGGAAGGUACAGAGUAUCGUAAACCUCUUUUGUCAGGGAACAAAGGCGGGGACGUGUCCCCGGAUGAGUGUACCUGAAGAAAAAGCAUCGGCUAACUCCGUGCCAGCAGCCGCGGUAAUACGGAGGAUGCGAGCGUUAUCCGGAUUUAUUGGGUUUAAAGGGUGCG
rnacentral:rRNA from 1 species